rnacentral:rRNA from 1 species
GGCUCAGAUUGAACGCUGGCGGCAUGCUUUACACAUGCAAGUCGAACGGCAGCACGGGUGCUUGCACCUGGUGGCGAGUGGCGAACGGGUGAGUAAUGCAUCGGAACGUACCCCGUAGCGGGGGAUAACCAACCGAAAGGUUGGCUAAUACCGCAUACGCUCUACGGAGGAAAGCAGGGGAUCGCAAGACCUUGCACUAUGGGAGCGGCCGAUGUUCGAUUAGCUUGUUGGUGAGGUAAAGGCUCACCAAGGCGACGAUCGAUAGCUGGUUUGAGAGAACGACCAGCCACACUGGGACUGAGACACGGCCCAGACUCCUACGGGAGGCAGCAGUGGGGAAUUUUGGACAAUGGGCGCAAGCCUGAUCCAGCAAUGCCGCGUGCGGGACGAAGGCCUUCGGGUUGUAAACCGCUUUUAGCAGGAACGAAACGGUGCGGGCUAAUACCCUGCGCUAAUGACGGUACCUGCAGAAUAAGCACCGGCUAACUACGUG